rnacentral:lncRNA from 1 species
GCUGGGAGGACAUUGUUUCCAAUUCAAAGGGAAGGUGUCUUUAGCGCUCUGUGAUGACAGCCCAGCCUCAGGAGAGGGCAGGGGAGCAGGCUGGUGUUAUUACUCCUUCCUUAAUGGGCCAAGGCUGACUCUGGGGCGUUUGUGACCUAGAGUGGGCAGUCGUCUCCCUCCCUCACCCUCCCCGCUUCCCCACUCAGCACUCCCAGCUGCAUGUCCCGGUGGCCGGGUCACGCUGAGCUUACAGGGAAACCAGUCAUUGGAUUCAGGGGCCAACCUACUCCAGGGUGACCUCAUCUUAACUGGAUUUCAUCUGCGAAGAACUCCAUUUCCAAACAAGGUCACAGGGGUUUAAGACUUUGAAUAUCUUUUUGGGGGACCCAGUUCGGCCCACGGCAGAGAGUUAGGGAGACCUGGGUCCCAGGGACAUCCCAAGCCUCCUGGACAACGCGCCCGGCCCUCUGGUCCUCAUCACCCCCACCCCGCCUCCAGGCUGAGGACAGCAAUCUCUCUCCUGCUCUCUCCUGGAACGCCAUGAGGGUCAGAGAUGACCGAUGUCCCCCUCAUCCACAGGGGGACAUGAAAGGAGGCAGAGGACCGGGGUGGAAGUCGUCAGUGGCAUCUGAGCCCCUGGUUCUUGGCAGCAGGAUGGGGAGAGUGACACCUUCCUGCUGCCUGACUGCUGAGUAUGGAAAGGCCUGAUGCUCCUGAGGGCCCAGCACAGGACCUACGCCGGGAUGCUUCGAAAGGCCCUGGGGCUAUGAUGGCUACCGAGCGCAUUUGGCCAAAGUGUUGCUAUUCACAUGCCAGGCCUCUGGGAGGCUAGUGGGACCAGGACCACCUUCCUCCAAUGCUUCCCCACUCAAUUCAGGUUUCCCAUGAAACAGAACAUUGUAUUCAAAGACCUGAGAAUAAAUUAUUACCACCACUAAUUAUUAUAUUUAAAAGAGCAAUUUAUAAUUUAGGAGAGGGUUUAAAGAAGUUAAAAUCUCGAGUGUAUUUUUAGCUGGAACACUUUCGGUUGCUAAUGACAGGAACCCAGUUCUGUCUAGUGCAAGCAGAAAAGGGAGUUUAUUGGCUAGUGACACCAGGAUGUCCAU